rnacentral:tRNA from 1 species
GGGCCGUUAGCUCAGCGGUAGAGCAAUUCCCUCUUAAGGAAAAGGUCGAUGGUUCGAAUCCAUCACGGCUCACCA